rnacentral:rRNA from 1 species
AACGAACGCUGGCGGCAGGCUUAACACAUGCAAGUCGAGCGCAUCCUUCGGGGUGAGCGGCGGACGGGUGAGUAACGCGUGGGAACGUGCCCUCUUCUACGGAAUAGCCUCGGGAAACUGAGAGUAAUGCCGUAUACGCCCGCAAGGGGAAAGAUUUAUCGGAGGAGGAUCGGCCCGCGUUGGAUUAGGUAGUUGGUGGGGUAACGGCCUACCAAGCCGACGAUCCAUAGCUGGUUUGAGAGGAUGAUCAGCCACACUGGGACUGAGACACGGCCCAGACUCCUACGGGAGGCAGCAGUGGGGAAUCUUGGACAAUGGGGGCAACCCUUAUCCAGCCAUGCCGCGUGAUCGAUGAAGGCCUUAGGGUUGUAAAGAUCUUUCAGCUGGGAAGAUAAUGACGGUACCAGCAGAAGAAGCCCCGGCUAACUCCGUG